rnacentral:rRNA from 1 species
GAGGACUUAGUGACGCAGCUAACGCAAUAAGUAGACCGCCUGGGGAGUACGGCCGCAAGGUUAAAACUCAAAUGAAUNGNCGGGGGCCCGCACNAGCGGUGGAGCAUGUGGUUUANUUNGAUGCAACGCGAAGAACCUUACCUGGUCUUGACAUACACAGAAUCUNGUAGAGAUACGAGAGUGCCUUCGGGAAUUGUGAUACAGGUGCUGCAUGGCUGUCGUCAGCUNGUGUCGUGAGAUGUUGGGUUAAGUCCCGCAACGAGCGCAACCCUUGUCCUUAGUUACCAGCGGGUUAAGCCGGGAACUNUAAGGAUACUNCCAGUGACAAACUGGAGGAAGGCGGGGACGACGUCAAGUCAUCAUGGCCCUUACGACCAGGGNUACACACNUGCUACAAUGGUAGGUACAGAGGGCAGCUACACAGCGAUGUGAUGCGAAUCUCAAAAAGCCUAUCGUAGUCCAGAUUGGAGUNUGCAACUCGACUCCNUGAAGUAGGAAUCGCUAGUAAUCGCGGAUCAGAAUGCCGCGGUGAAUACGUUCCCGGGCNUUGUACACACCGCCCGUCACACCAUGGGAGUUGAUUGCACCAGAAGUGGUUAG